rnacentral:rRNA from 1 species
UACCAGCACCCCGAGUGGUCUGGACGAUUAUUGGGCCUAAAGCAUCCGUAGCCGGUUCUACAAGUCUUCCGUUAAAUCCACCUGCUUAACAGAUGGGCUGCGGAGGAUACUAUGGAGCUAGGAGGCGGGAGAGGCAAGCGGUACUUAGUGGGUAGGGGUAAAAUCCGUUGAUCCAUUGAAGACCACCAGUGGCGAAGGCGGCUUGCCAGAACGCACUCGACGGUGAGGGAUGAAAGCUGGGGGAGCAAACCGG